AAAUGCAUUAGACUGGGGGAGAGGUGAGUCCCACAUUGGAAAUCAUCAGAUCCUGGUCUCUUCCAUCCUGCUAAAACCCGCUUGCUUGGAAGUUGUGUAGAUGCCCAGUCUCUUGUUAUGCAUAGAGAAGAGGAAGUGGAUGUCAGUCGCAAGCUUACAAAGAACUAUUCUAUAUAAUAGUGAGGUAAACCAUAUUUUUUAAAUAUAUGAAAAAUAUCUUGAUGGUCCCAUUCUCAGAGAAGGCAAAACAAGAAGUAUACCAGCCUUUGAAAAAGGUUGUUGUUUUUUGGGUUUUUUUUGGCGGGGGGAGGUCUUAUUAAACAGCAUGAAGCAACAUUUUGGAAAAAAAGUAUUUACCUUCAGAAAUCACCUUAAACCUUUUCAUUAAGUAUAUUUGAAGGCUGUCUUUAAAAAUCAAUGUAGUUUUCACAUAAUUCAUGCAGAGAUUGUAUGUUUUUAAAUUUAAUUUUUUAUUCUAUAUUUUACCUGUUACCAAAAGUGUUAUUUUACAGAAAAACACACAUAUGCAUACAGUAUUCUAUAAAGCUUAAAAAAGCCAAACUGGUCCAAAUGUCAUUACAAGUUGAUUAUUUUAUUUCAAUAAUGAAUGUUUUUAAAUGCUGUAUUCCUACACUUCUGUGUAUAGUACAUAUUUAAAUUAAAUUUACUAUUGUGUUGUGGAGUAUACAUCUGAGUAAAGCUACAUAUAGAAAAAUACACAUAGCCAAUGACUGCACCACAGAUUGGGGGAGGGGGGGCAUGGUCCAGUUUGCCAGGGGAAGGGGUAUUUCACUUUUGGGGAGUUGCAGGGAGAGGCACAUAUAAUGCUGCAAAAGCAGAGUGGGUCAGUAUUGCAAUGCUGACUCAUCCCUCAGGGACCAGAAGAGCUGGGGAGUUGAUAAAGGGCAAGCCCAGCAAAAGACCCUUUUCCCUGGACCAGAUGGAGUAGCACCCAACCUCUCAACCUUGGAAGUGGCAAAAAAGCAGGUUUGGUCAGUAUCACAGUGGGCACGGCACUAGCCACUCCUUUCUUGGGAAGCUGGGAAGGAAUUUUCCCCCUCACCACCAGAUUAGCCAAACUGGAGAGGGAGAUUUUUGCAUCCCCCACAGCAUGUUCUGGAGGGCAGGGGGCGGGGGGAGGGGGGCGUGUUGUAAUGGUGAGUAGGAAAGGAAGUUAGGCUAUGAUGUCGCAACUCAUUAUGUAAGUAUGGGGCAGAUGUCCAGUGCAGGCACUCCACAGGGAAGGGAUACAGUGAUCAUAUAAAUGGUUUGAUAAAGAACUUAAAGGAGGUGUUUGUUAAAAGAGUGGAAUGGGCUGAGGAGAGGGAGGGGUGGCAUGCACAUGACUGAGACCUUUCUUUAUAGCCCACCUUAACCCUCAUUUGAGAGUGGGAGGUCCCAGCAAUGGACUGGCUGGAGACAAGGGUGGAAAAAAAGGAGUCGGGGGCUGGCAGAAGUCCCCAGGAAAAUACUGAAAUGAUCAUGGUGUUACCUGCACUGUACACUUUUAUCUGUCGGGUAGUCCCAGACAUCCAAUAAAAUUGCAGCCUGGUUAAAUCAUAUUCACCAUCUUCUGUCCUUCCCGUAUAGCCAGACAACAAUAUAGCAUAAGGAAGAUAUAAUAGGCGUGUGUUUAACAAUUUUGCCAUUUUUCCAUUUCUUUUGUUUCUGUUUUCCUACCCUCUCAUCUUUCACCACUGCAUAUUAAUAGCCAGUGCUUUAAAUCUAUAGUAGAUUUAGAGACAAAAUAGAAUUAACAACACAUGGUAUGUGUCAGUUGGCAUUAACAUUGGCUACUCCUGACAGUUAGUAGUGUAGCUGAAACUGAGUGCCAACUUCGCAUUAAAUAUAGUCUACAAUGUAUAUGCUAAAAUAAAAAACACUGAAUCAGUAAAGGAGGGUAAUCUCACAAAAUAUUAAAGUUUGUUAUAAAAUAGUGCAAUUCAGAAGAGCUUUUUUCCUACAUAUGGUUGGAAAUACCAUUGCCACAUGUAUACAUUUUAGUAGAUUUGUGAACAAUGUUAAACACUAACUAAUGAAUUAGAUUUAAUUUCUAUAAGGCAACUAUAAUGCAACAGUUAAAUGUUCACAGUAGUUUACUACUAGUUUGCUUUGGUGCACUGCCAUUAAAGGCAUCUAUUUCGUCAUAAGACAAGAUUACCAGGUUUAACACUGCUGCAGUAACAAGCAAAAUACUAAUAAUUCUAACUUGAGAUGUGCAGGACUAUCUGAAGUCUCAGUGCUGAAGGGCUUUAUUUCUUUCACAAAUUAGACUAUUUUUGUUUUAUUCUUUAACUGCUAAAGAAAUGCUGUUGUAGCAGUGUCUGCGUGGAGCAACAGUUACAUGCAGUGGUCAUGUGCAAUCUUAGAUGUUUCUUCUCUGGGAAUGUUCCUUGUUUUUUGUUGUAAGACAUUAGUCUAACCCAAGUUUGAAAAUCCCCUCUCUCUCGCUCUCUCUCUCGGCCACACUUAAUUCUAAUGGCUUGGGUGUGAUGAGCAAUUUGUAAAAAUAAGGAAUUUCCUUAUUACUAUUGCUUUGCAUCUCAUUGAUACUGUAACAGCUGCCCUCUCCCACAUUUCACAUACCUUGAACUCACAAAGUUUGUUAAACCUUUCCAUGACUGCCUAAUCCUGUUAUGAAAAGUAAAAUAUUCUGAGAGAAGUGACAUUAAACAAAAAUAAACCCAAACAAAAAAGUGUUCGGAUAAACAGUCCUUGCAACUUCUGCACAUGAUUUUUUACAGCAGUGUUUAAGAAAUCCUUUAAUGGCAGUGCUCA